AUCUGAAACUGGUAAUACCUAAUUUUAAAUUUAAUUUCUAUCCUCAUAUGCAAUAAGAAAAUAAUAAUUAUAUGUACAUAUAUAGAUCCCUCUCAUUUCUGCAUACUGCUCUUCUAAUAUUCAAGAUUAAAGGAGAAGAAAAAAAAGCCCCAAAUAUUCUUGAAUUGAAAAAAAAAAAGAAAUUCUAAUUAAGAUCAAGAAACAGCAAAUCCAUCUCUAUUGGCAUUCAUUAAGCAAAACCUGGAAGGCCUGGGACAGCGACGAGAGUGGCCAGCGACGGCGACGGCGAGGCGAGAGGACAGCGACGGCGAGGACAGCGAAGGCGAGAGGACAGCGACGGCGAGAGGACAGCGGCGGCGAGAGUGGCAAGAAGGCGACGGCGAGGUGAGGCGAUAGCCACUAGCGACGGCGACGAGAGUGGNNNNNNNNNNNNNNNGAGAGGACGGCGACGGCGAGGCGAGAGGACGGCGACGGCGAGGCGAGAGGCCAGCGACGGCGAGGACAGCGAAGGCGGCGGCGGCGAGAGUGGCAAGAAGCACGAAUGGGCGCUGAGGGGCAGAGAGGAGAGGAAAGGGUGGCUGAAAAUUAAAAGAAAGAUGAAAAGAAGAUUAGGUUUUUUGCUUUUAUAUUGUUUGCUUUUUCUGACGGAUUAGCGACGGAAUAAAUUCCGUCGCUAAUAUUUUAAAAAUCCGUCGCUAAUCCGUCGCUAAUCCGUCAGAAAAUUAGACAUAAGGUAUUCGUCGCUGAUCCGUCGCUAAUUUUUUUUUUUCCGACGGAAGUUACUUCCGUCGCUAAAUCCGUCACUGAUACCUUGUUUUUUUGUAGUG
rnacentral:lncRNA from 1 species